GAUAAACGCUGGCGGUGUGCUUUAUGCAUGCAAGUCGAACGGUAGCAGGCCUUCGGGCGCUGACGAGUGGCGGACGGGUGAGUAACGCGUAGGAAUCUGCCUCAUAGUGGGGGACAACGUGGGGAAACUCACGCUAAUACCGCAUACGCCCUACGGGGGAAAGCGGGGGAUCUUCGGACCUCGCGCUAUGAGAUGAGCCUGCGUUAGAUUUAGCUAGUUGGUAGGUAAAGGCCUACCAAGGCGACGAUCUAUAGCUGGUCUGAGAGGACGAUCAGCCACACUGGGACUGAGACACGGCCCAGACACCUACGGGAGCAG
rnacentral:rRNA from 1 species